UCAAGUGAAGAAGCGCAUACGGUGGAUGCCUUGGCAGUCAGAGGCGAUGAAAGACGUGGUAGCCUGCGAAAAGCUUCGGGGAGUCGGCAAACAGACUGUGAUCCGGAGAUGUCUGAAUGGGGGAACCCAGCCAUCAUAAGAUGGUUAUCUUGUACUGAAUACAUAGGUGCAAGAGGCGAACCAGGGGAACUGAAACAUCUAAGUACCCUGAGGAAAAGAAAUCAACCGAGAUUCCCUUAGUAGUGGCGAGCGAACGGGGACCAGCCCUUAAGUUGUAUUGAGAUUAGCGGAACACUCUGGAAAGGGUGGCCAUAGUGGGUGAUAGCCCUGUACGCGAAAAUCCCUUUGCAAUGAAAUCGAGUAGGACGGGGCACGAGAAACCUUGUCUGAAUAUGGGGGGACCAUCCUCCAAGGCUAAAUACUACUGACUGACCGAUAGUGAACCAGUACCGUGAGGGAAAGGCGAAAAGAACCGCGGAGAGCGGAGUGAAAUAGAUCCUGAAACCGUAUGCGUACAAGCAGUGGGAGCCCACUUUGUUGGGUGACUGCGUACCUUUUGUAUAAUGGGUCAGCGACUUAUUUUCAGUGGCGAGCUUAACCGAAUAGGGGAGGCGUAGCGAAAGCGAGUCUUAAUAGGGCGUCUAGUCGCUGGGAAUAGACCCGAAACCGGGCGAUCUAUCCAUGGGCAGGUUGAAGGUUGGGUAACACUAACUGGAGGACCGAACCGACUACCGUUGAAAAGUUAGCGGAUGACCUGUGGAUCGGAGUGAAAGGCUAAUCAAGCUCGGAGAUAGCUGGUUCUCCUCGAAAGCUAUUUAGGUAGCGCCUCAUGUAUCACUGUAGGGGGUAGAGCACUGUUUCGGCUAGGGGGUCAUCCCGACUUACCAAACCGAUGCAAACUCCGAAUACCUACAAGUGCCGAGCAUGGGAGACACACGGCGGGUGCUAACGUCCGUCGUGAAAAGGGAAACAACCCAGACCGUCAGCUAAGGUCCCAAAGUCAUGGUUAAGUGGGAAACGAUGUGGGAAGGCUUAGACAGCUAGGAGGUUGGCUUAGAAGCAGCCACCCUUUAAAGAAAGCGUAAUAGCUCACUAGUCGAGUCGGCCUGCGCGGAAGAUGUAACGGGGCUCAAACCAUGCACCGAAGCUACGGGUAUCAUCUUAGGAUGAUGCGGUAGAGGAGCGUUCUGUAAGCCUGUGAAGGUGAGUUGAGAAGCUUGCUGGAGGUAUCAGAAGUGCGAAUGCUGACAUGAGUAACGACAAUGGGUGUGAAAAACACCCACGCCGAAAGACCAAGGUUUCCUGCGCAACGUUAAUCGACGCAGGGUUAGUCGGUCCCUAAGGCGAGGCUGAAAAGCGUAGUCGAUGGAAAACAGGUUAAUAUUCCUGUACUUCUGGUUAUUGCGAUGGAGGGACGGAGAAGGCUAGGCCAGCCUGGCGUUGGUUGUCCAGGUUUAAGGUGGUAGGCUGAGAUCUUAGGUAAAUCCGGGAUCUUAAGGCCGAGAGCUGAUGACGAGUGUUCUUUUAGAACACGAAGUGGUUGAUGCCAUGCUUCCAAGAAAAGCUUCUAAGCUUCAGGUAACCAGGAACCGUACCCCAAACCGACACAGGUGGUUGGGUAGAGAAUACCAAGGCGCUUGAGAGAACUCGGGUGAAGGAACUAGGCAAAAUGGCACCGUAACUUCGGGAGAAGGUGCGCCGGUGGAGGUGAAGCAUUUACUGCGUAAGCCCCUGCCGGUCGAAGAUACCAGGCCGCUGCGACUGUUUAUUAAAAACACAGCACUCUGCAAACACGAAAGUGGACGUAUAGGGUGUGACGCCUGCCCGGUGCCGGAAGGUUAAUUGAUGGGGUUAGCGCAAGCGAAGCUCUUGAUCGAAGCCCCGGUAAACGGCGGCCGUAACUAUAACGGUCCUAAGGUAGCGAAAUUCCUUGUCGGGUAAGUUCCGACCUGCACGAAUGGCGUAACGAUGGCGGCGCUGUCUCCACCCGAGACUCAGUGAAAUUGAAAUCGCUGUGAAGAUGCAGUGUAUCCGCGGCUAGACGGAAAGACCCCGUGAACCUUUACUAUAGCUUUGCACUGGACUUUGAAUUUGCUUGUGUAGGAUAGGUGGGAGGCUUUGAAGCGUGGACGCCAGUCUGCGUGGAGCCAACCUUGAAAUACCACCCUGGCAACUUUGAGGUUCUAACUCAGGUCCGUUAUCCGGAUCGAGGACAGUGUAUGGUGGGUAGUUUGACUGGGGCGGUCUCCUCCUAAAGAGUAACGGAGGAGUACGAAGGUGCGCUCAGACCGGUCGGAAAUCGGUCGUAGAGUAUAAAGGCAAAAGCGCGCUUGACUGCGAGACAGACACGUCGAGCAGGUACGAAAGUAGGUCUUAGUGAUCCGGUGGUUCUGUAUGGAAGGGCCAUCGCUCAACGGAUAAAAGGUACUCCGGGGAUAACAGGCUGAUACCGCCCAAGAGUUCAUAUCGACGGCGGUGUUUGGCACCUCGAUGUCGGCUCAUCACAUCCUGGGGCUGAAGCCGGUCCCAAGGGUAUGGCUGUUCGCCAUUUAAAGUGGUACGCGAGCUGGGUUUAGAACGUCGUGAGACAGUUCGGUCCCUAUCUGCCGUGGACGUUUGAGAUUUGAGAGGGGCUGCUCCUAGUACGAGAGGACCGGAGUGGACGAACCUCUGGUGUUCCGGUUGUCACGCCAGUGGCAUUGCCGGGUAGCUAUGUUCGGAAAAGAUAACCGCUGAAAGCAUCUAAGCGGGAAACUUGCCUCAAGAUGAGAUCUCACUGGAACCUUGAGUUCCCUGAAGGGCCGUCGAAGACUACGACGUUGAUAGGUUGGGUGUGUAAGCGCUGUGAGGCGUUGAGCUAACCAAUACUAAUUGCCCGUGAGGCUUGACCAU
rnacentral:rRNA from 1 species